AGAGUUUGAUCCUGGCUCAGGAUGAACGCUGGCGGCGUGCUUAACACAUGCAAGUCGAACGGACGCUUGGGGUAACUUGAGCGUUAGUGGCAAACGGGUGAGUAACACGUGGGUGACCUACCUCAAAGUGGGGAACAACAGACCGAAAGGUUUGCUAAUACCGCAUAUGCUCGGUGAUUCAUUUUGCCGAGUAAAGCCGUAAGGCGCUUUGAGAGGGACCCGCGUCCCAUCAGGUAGUUGGUGAGGUAAUGGCCCACCAAGCCGAUGACGGGUAGCUGUUCUGAGAGGAAGAUCAGCCACAAUGGAACUGAGACACGGUCCAUACUCCUACGGGAGGCAGCAGUGAGGAAUAUUGCACAAUGGACGAAAGUCUGAUGCAGCGACGCCGCGUGGGCGACGAAGGCCUUCGGGUUGUAAAGCCCUUUUGGCAGGGACGAGUGAGGACGGUACCUGUCGAAUAAGUCUCGGCUAACUACGUGCCAGCAGCCGCGGUAAAACGUAGGAGGCGAGCGUUAUCCGGAUUUACUGGGCGUAAAGCGUGCGUAGGCGGUUGGUCAAGUCAGAUGUUAAAGCCCCUGGCUCAACUGGGGGAGGUCAUUUGAUACUGGCCGGCUUGAGGGUGAGAGAGGAGAGUGGAAUUCCCGGUGUAGCGGUGGAAUGCGUAGAGAUCGGGAGGAACACCAGUGGCGAAAGCGGCUCUCUGGCUCACUUCUGACGCUGAGUGCACGAAAGCGUGGGGAGCAAACGGGAUUAGAUACCCUGGUAGUCC
rnacentral:rRNA from 1 species